rnacentral:rRNA from 1 species
UUAGGAAUUUUGGGCAAUGGGGGAAACCCUGACCCAGCAACGCCGCGUGGGGGAUGAAGGCCUUCGGGUUGUAAACCCCUUUUCCCAGGGAAGAUAGUGACGGUACCUGGGGAAUAAGUCCCGGCUAACUACGUGCCAGCAGCCGCGGUAAUACGUAGGGGGCAAGCGUUGUCCGGAUUUAUUGGGCGUAAAGCGCGCGCAGGCGGCUCGCCAAGUCGGUCGUGAAAUCUCUCGGCUCAACUGAGAGGGGUCGGGCGAAACUGGCGAGCUUGAGGUCGGUAGGGGAAAGCGGAAUUCCCGGUGUAGUGGUGGAAUGCGUAGAUAUCGGGAGGAACACCAGUGGCGAAGGCGGCUUUCUGGACCGAAACUGACGCUGAGGCGCGAAAGCGUGGGGAGCGAUCCGG